rnacentral:rRNA from 1 species
UACGUAGGGGGCGAGCGUUGUCCGGAUUUAUUGGGCGUAAAGAGCGUGUAGGCGGUUCGGUAAGUCUGCCGUGAAAACCUGAGGCUCAACCUCGGGCGUGCGGUGGAUACUGCCGGGCUAGAGGACGGUAGAGGCGAGUGGAAUCCCGGUGUAGCGGUGAAAUGCGCAGAUAUCAGGAGGAACACCGGUGGCGAAGGCGGAUCUCUGGGCCUUACCUGACGCUCAGGUGCGAAAGCGUGGGGAGCGAACAGG